CUUGCUGGGACAGGCGUGCUGCCGAGGAGGCGCAACCACCAAGCACAGAUUAUUCUUCUUUGACUAAUGUCGUGUCCAAAAAUGCUGAAAACAGUCCACAUCAGGUCCACACGACGUAACAACACCAUGUGACAAAACAAAAACA